rnacentral:rRNA from 1 species
UUCAAUAUUGCCCCUUAAAAAGGCAAUGUGCACUUCUCUCUUAGUAAGACGCUGUGAUCCAUUAGAAAUUGGAUUGUUUCAACAAUCGUAUGGCUGUCAAUAGGCCGGUGUGAAGUUCACUGAUACAAAUAACUCAAUCAUUUACGGUUGGGUAUAUUGUUUGGUGAGCUCACCGUCACCUGUACAAUGGCUGUCUGAUGGAUUUUAAAGGCUAUGAUAUUGAUGUCUUUUGGCAUCACUCGCUUUAAGUGAGAAUGGUCAUAUGCCCGAUCAACAGCGGUUAAAUUUGGGAUACCUUUUGGACCCGUCUUGAAACACGGACCAAGGAGUCUAUCUAGUAUGCGAGUAAGUGAGAAUAUAUUAGAUAAACUUAUUUGCGUAAAAAACUUGACUGUUCAAUGGGACUACGAGUUGUGCUUUUAAUCGGGUACUUCUCUUCCAUCCCGGGGUAUUUCUAUCAACAUAUGCAGCAAUGUAUAUGGGAAAUAUACCAUGAGCAUACUGGAUAUGACCCGAAAGAUGGUGAACUAUGCCUGAUCAGGUUGAAGUCAGGGGAAACCCUGAUGGAGGACCGAAGCAAUUCUGACGUGCAAAUCG